rnacentral:rRNA from 1 species
UACAGAGGUCCCAAGCGUUGUUCGGAUUCACUGGGCGUAAAGGGUGCGUAGGUGGCGGGGCAAGUCUGAUGUGAAAUCUCCGAGCUUAACUCGGAAACUGCAUCGGAUACUGCUUCGCUCGAGGGUUGGAGGGGGGACUGGAAUACUUGGUGUAGCAGUGAAAUGCGUAGAUAUCAAGUGGAACACCAGUGGCGAAGGCGGGUCUCUGGGCCGAUACUGACGCUGAGGUGCGAAAGCGUGGGGAGCAAACAGG